UAAUAUUGCCAUGGGAACCCUGAUCAUCAUGCCUCUUGUAUGAGAAGCCUUCGUUGUAAAGUACUUUUAUUGAGAGAAGGUGUCGCUGUUAAGCACUAUCAUUCGACGUUACUCAGAAAAGCACCGGCUAACUCCGUGCCACAGCCGCGUAAUACGGAGGGUGCGAGCGUUAAUCGGAAUUACUGGGCGUAAAGCGCAUGCAGGCGGUCUGUUAAGCAAGAUGUGAAAGCCCGGGGCUCAACCUNGGAACAGCAUUUUGAACUGGCAGGCUAGAGUCUUGUAGAGGGGGGUAGAAUUUCAGGUGUAGCGGUGAAAUGCGUAGAGAUCUGAAGGAAUACCGGUGGCGAAGGCGGCCCCCUGGACAAAGACUGACGCUCAGAUGCGAAAGCGUGGGGAGCAAACAGGAUUAGAUACCCUGGUAGUCCACGCCGUAAACGAUGUCUACUUGGAGGUUGGUGCCUUGAGCACUGGCUUUCGGAGCUAACAGCGUUAAGUAGACCGCCUGGGGAGACGGUCAGCAAGAUUAAAACUCAGAAUGAAUUGUCGGGGGCCCGCAGCAAUCGGUGGAGCAUGUGGUUUAAUUCGAUGCAACCGAAAACCUUACCUACUUUGACAGCAUAUCUUUAGAGAGAGAGUUGGGAGAAAAAGUGCGGGA
rnacentral:rRNA from 1 species